rnacentral:misc_RNA from 1 species
CCGAGUUUACAACUCCCAAACCCUGUGAACAUACCACUUGUUGCCUCGGCGGAUCAGCCCACUCCCGGUAAAACGGGACGGCCCGCCAGAGGACCCCUAAACUCUGUGUUCUAUAUGUAACUUUGAGUAAAACCAUAAAUAAAUC